rnacentral:miRNA from 1 species
GGCAGCUCUCCUUUGGCAGG